AGUGAACGCUGGCGGUAGGCCUAACACAUGCAAGUCGAACGGCAGCACAGUAAGAGCUUGCUCUUACGGGUGGCGAGUGGCGGACGGGUGGGGAAUACAUCGGAAUCUACUUUUUCGUGGGGGAUAACGUAGGGAAACUUACGCUAAUACCGCAUACGACCUACGGGUGAAAGCAGGGGAUCUUCGGACCUUGCGCGAUUGAAUGAGCCGAUGUCGGAUUAGCUAGUUGGCGGGGUAAAGGCCCACCAAGGCGACGAUCCGUAGCUGGUCUGAGAGGAUGAUCAGCCACACUGGAGCUGAGACACGGUCCAGACUCCUACGGGAGGCAGCAGUGGGGAAUAUUGGACAAUGGGCGCAAGCCUGAUCCAGCCAUACCGCGUGGGUGAAGAAGGCCUUCGGGUUGUAAAGCCCUUUUGUUGGGAAAGAAAAGCAGCAGGUUAAUACCCCGCUGUUCUGACGGUACCCAAAGAAUAAGCACCGGCUAACUUCGU
rnacentral:rRNA from 1 species